GGGGAUUGGCAGUCCUCUUUCUCCCCCGCCCGGCCCAGGAAGCCCAUGUCCCUGUCCAGCGGCGGCACCUGCUACCAUGACUUCCAACAACAUUUCAGUGACGGGGGCCCCACCUGCGCCAGCCUUUUUUUGCGGAUAUUUCGGAAACAAGCAGUCCUUUCUCCUCCCUGCCAGGGAGAAGGUCCACGUUUGCCAGCUCCUUCACAAAUAGCCCAAGUCACUCACAGCAUGGCACCACCUGAAUGCCCGCUUCACUAGGCAAACAGCACACACACACACACACACACACACGCACGCACUCCCAUCUCCCCAUCCAAGAAAGGGGGCCGUUUCAAUGGAAGAAGUGUCAUUCUCCGGAAAAGGUCCAAUUCAGGCUCCACAACCAAGGCACUUGUACGGCCGCUUGGUGGGAAAAUUUCGUUCCAGAAACUGAGUCGUGAUGAGGGACAGACCCAAAAGCCCGAUUGGCGUAAGCGUUCCACCUGUUCCGACUCCUGUCACUUUUGUUUGGUGUUGCGUCUUCGAGAAAGAAACCCUGAUCCACUCCCGCGCCGGAAACAUUUUGCGCGUACAACGCCUCACAAAAUAAGGUCUCUAAACGCUUUCCAAGUACAAGGAAGCACUAGACUGUCUUGCAGCCAGACCCACCUGACGGGCCCUGGGAAACGUGAUUCUGGGGAGCGGCCCAGAAGCCUCCACGGGGAGCACAGAAAGAGAGAGGGAGGUGCCGGGCCCUGGAGCUGCGGAAUUUAGGAGUGGGAGAGGGCCGUGACUGCCCUCGCCUGCCCCGGUCACAGGCCGCAGGGAAAUUGUUCCUGGCUGCACUCUGGGGUGCCCUGGGGAAGACAACAAAGCAGCUUGUAUGCAUGAGCAGGACACCCCACACUGACCUCAGUGGGGCCUCCACACUCUGGGACAGGAGUGCACCUGACGUCUUUACGUGGCUGCUCCCAGUUCUUUGCUGCGUGCUGUUUUCACCGCUUAUCAACGCCCGAUGCCGCCCCUAAGUUAGUCCAAACGAGACUUUCUGAGUUCUUUCUCACUGAGAACACGUGUGGAAGUCACCACUGUCCACGAGGAUGUUGGCAGGCACAGGACCUGCCCCUCCGUGCCGGGGAGGAGAGGGGGCACCAGACCACGUGAAGGCACAGGACGGCACGUCCCUAAGCGCCCACAUGCACCCCCCAAGCCACAUGUGUCCCUCAGGCUCGUGGGUUCUGUAAUUAAGUGC
rnacentral:lncRNA from 1 species